rnacentral:rRNA from 1 species
UUUAAAAGCACUUUGAAAAGAGAGUGAAAAGAACCUGAAACCGCUAGGGGGGAAGCGAAUUGCGUUGAUAUUUGAGAAACUUGUCGAUCAGUGGGUGAUUCCGCGUAAUCCGCAUUUUUCUCUGCCGUCAUGGGCUUGUGGUUUAGCGGAUGUUGCGCUGCUGCAGGCCGAGGGAUCCCUUUUAUAGGUUUGACGAUGAUGGAUAUUUUGGCGCGAUUCGACCCGUCUUGAAACACGGACCAAGGAGUCUAGCGUACCUGCGAGUCAAAGGGUGUGGAAACCUGAGGGCGCAGUGAAAGCGAAUCUAUUUAAAAUGGUGCAAUUUGAGGCGGCAUACGAUCGUUGAUUGUAAGUCCGACCUAGAGCAGAUAUGCUAGGACCCGAAAGAUGGUGAACUAUGCUUGAGUAGGGCGAAGCCAGAGGAAACUCUGGUGGAGGCUCGUAGCGGUGCUGACGUGCAAAUCGCUCGUCAAACUUGAGUAUAGGGGCGAAAGACUAAUCGAACCAUCUAGUAGCUGGUUUCCUCCGAAGUUUCUCUCAGGAUAGCAGGCCCAAAUAUGAUGAUUGUUGUGUGU